CGAACGGGUGAGUAACGCGUAGGUAACCUGCCUUGUAGCGGGGGAUAACUAUUGGAAACGAUAGCUAAUACCGCAUAACAAUGGAUGACCCAUGUCAUUUAUUUGAAAGGGGCAAAUGCUCCACUACAAGAUGGACCUGCGUUGUAUUAGCUAGUAGGUGAGGUAACGGCUCACCUAGGCGACGAUACAUAGCCGACCUGAGAGGGUGACCGGCCACAUUGGGACUGAGACACGGCCCAGACUCCUACGGGAGGCAGCAUG
rnacentral:rRNA from 1 species